rnacentral:rRNA from 1 species
GACAGAGGUGCCGAGCGUUAGGCGGAAUCACUGGGCUUAAAGCGUGUGUAGGCGGAUCUGUAAGUACCUUGUGAAAUCCCACGGCCCAACCGUGGAACUGCUUGGUAUACUGCGGGUCUUGAGCCACCUAGGGGCAAGUGGAACAAACGGUGGAGCGGUGAAAUGCGUAGAUAUCGUUUGGAACGCCAAUGGUGAAAACAACUUGCUGGGGGUGUGCUGACGCUGAGACACGAAAGCCAGGGGAGCAAACGGG